UAAAUCGUAUUAUGCCAAAAUGUGUGACAUUCUACAUAUGAUGUGUGUAAAAGUGUAUUUAACAUUCCAUCUCAAGACGAUGUGAUAGCAAUGAAGUCUUUACAUCAAAAACAGAAGAGGGGAGUUCAUCCAUAAUGAAGAUCAGCAGUGGAGUGGAAUGAGUCUUCCCUGGCCCACUUCAGUCAUUUUACAUUUCACACAACAAUGCAGACACGCAGGUGGACGUGGUGACUGAGAUGACAUCCUCUCUAAAGAUUUGGGGCAUACUCUUGGCCCUGCUUUGCAUCCUUUGCAGGCUGUGUGUAUACAGUAACAACAUUUACUGGAGAGAAUUCAUAAAACUUCAUUACUUAAGUCCAAGUCGAGAAUUCAAAGAGUACAAAUGUGAUGUCCUCAUGAGAGAAAAAGAGGCUCUGAAAGGCA
rnacentral:lncRNA from 1 species